CUACGGGUCGCUCCAGUUUCGAAUAAUUCACAAUGGGCGCAAGCCUGAUGAUGCGACGUUACGUGAAGGAAGAAAGCUUUAAGUUGUAAACUUCUGUCGUUAAGGAACAAAAAAUUAAGUAGUACUUUUUAUAUUGAGUUAACUUAAAAAGGAAGCAGUGGCUAAUUUCGUGCCAGCAGCCGCGGUAAUACGGGAACUGCAAGCGUUGCUCGGUUUUAUUGGGCGUAAAGAGUACGUAGGCUGUUAUAUAUGUUAAUUGUUAAAUUUUAAAGUUAAUCUUUAAAUUUGCUGUUAAAACUAUAUAACUAGAAUUUCAAAGAGGUAAGUGGAAUUGCAAGUGUAGCGGUGAAAUGCGUAGAUAUUUGAAGGAACACCAAUGGCGAAAGCAACUUACUGGGUGAUAAUUGACGCUAAAGUACGAAAGUAUAGGGAGCAAAAGGGAUUAGAUACCCCGGUAGUC
rnacentral:rRNA from 1 species